AGUGAACGCUGGCGGUAGGCCUAACACAUGCAAGUCGAACGGCAGCACAGUAAGAGCUUGCUCUUACGGGUGGCGAGUGGCGGACGGGUGAGGAAUACAUCGGAAUCUACUUUUUCGUGGGGGAUAACGUAGGGAAACUUACGCUAAUACCGCAUACGACCUACGGGUGAAAGCAGGGGAUCUUCGGACCUUGCGCGAUUGAAUGAGCCGAUGUCGGAUUAGCUAGUUGGCGGGGUAAAGGCCCACCAAGGCGACGAUCCGUAGCUGGUCUGAGAGGAUGAUCAGCCACACUGGAACUGAGACACGGUCCAGACUCCUACGGGGCAGCAGUGGGGAAUAUUGGACAAUGGGCGCAAGCCUGAUCCAGCCAUACCGCGUGGGUGAAGAAGGCCUUCGGGUUGUAAAGCCCUUUUGUUGGGAAAGAAAAGCAGCAGGUUAAUACCCCGCUGUUCUGACGGUACCCAAAGAAUAAGCACCGGCUAACUUCGUG
rnacentral:rRNA from 1 species